GCCGGGGUGGCGAAAUUGGCAGACGCUCAGGACUUAAAAUCCUGUGGCCCGAAAGGGCCGUGCGGGUUCAACUCCCGCCCCCGGCACGA
rnacentral:tRNA from 2 species